AGUCGUAUGUUCUAAUGGUUAUGAUUUCUCGUUCACAGUACAACAUGUGUUCAAUGUUCCGAGAAGGUUCCGUGUUCGAUCCACGGUACGACUA